rnacentral:rRNA from 1 species
GACGAACGCUGGCGGCGCGCUUAACACAUGCAAGUCGAGCGAGAACCAGGCCUUCGGGCCUGGGGACAGCGGCGAGCGGGUGAGUAACACGUGGGUAAUCAACCCUCGGUACUGGGAUAGCCCGGGGAAACCCGGAUUACUACCGGAUGGCCCUUCGGAGCUUCGGUGCCGAAGGAAACGGUAGCUUCGGCCUCCGACCGAGGACGAGCCCGCGGCGGAUUAGCUUGUUGGUGGGGUAACGGCCUACCAAGGCGGCGAUCCGUAGCUGGUCUGAGAGGACGAUCAGCCACACUGGGACUGAGACACGGCCCAGACUCCUACGGGAGGCAGCAGUGGGGAAUCUUGCGCUAAUGCGGGAAACCGUGACGCAGCGACGCCGCGUGAGGGAAGAAGGCCUUCGGGUUGUAAACCUCUUUCAGGAGGGACGAAGCUACUCGGGUUAAUAGCCCAGAGGGUGACGGUACCUCCAGAAGAAGCCCCGGCUAACUACGUGCCAGCCGCCGCCGUAAAAC